UCCGAGUUGUCCCCGGCAGUCCUCUUAGAGUCCCCGGCAUUACCCGCUGGCAACUAAGAGCAGGGGUUGCGCUCGUUGCGGCACUUAAGCCAACACCUCACGGCACGAGCUGACGACAGCCAUGCAGCACCUGUGCUAGCCCCUUACGGACACGGGCUUUCACCCGCUUUAACUAGCAUGUCAAACCCAGGUAAGGUGGGGAUGACGUACCAAGGUUGGUU
rnacentral:misc_RNA from 1 species